UUUAACCGAUCCCAACCACAACGGACACUGCGGAUCACGGUCCUGGCCGUAAGUCGCCAGGAUUGCCUGGGCUUC
rnacentral:antisense_RNA from 1 species